AAAUUGAAGAGUUUGAUCAUGGCUCAGAUUGAACGCUGGCGGCAGGCCUAACACAUGCAAGUCGAACGGUAACAGGAAGCAGCUUGCUGCUUCGCUGACGAGUGGCGGACGGGUGAGUAAUGUCUGGGAAACUACCUGAUGGAGGGGGAUAACUACUGGAAACGGUAGCUAAUACCGCAUAACGUCGCAAGACCAAAGAGGGGGACCUUCGGGCCUCUUGCCAUCGGAUGUGCCCAGAUGGGAUUAGCUAGUAGGUGGGGUAA
rnacentral:rRNA from 1 species